UGUGCCACUGUGUGUGUGUGUGUGUGUGUGUGUGUCAGAUACAUACACACACACACACACACAGAUACACACU